rnacentral:rRNA from 1 species
GACGUAGGGCGCGAGCGUUGUCCGGAUUUAUUGGGCGUAAAGAGCUCGUAGGCGGUUUGUCGCGUCGUCUGUGAAAACCCACGGCUCAACUGUGGGCUUGCAGUCGAUACGGGCAGGCUAGGGUUCGGUAGGGGAGACUGGAAUUCCUGGUGUAGCGGUGAAAUGCGCAGAUAUCAGGAGGAACACCGGUGGCGAAGGCGGGUCUCUGGGCCGAUACUGACGCUGAGGAGCGAAAGCGUGGGGAGCGAACAGG